ensembl:lncRNA
GUAGUUAUCAGCUGACACUGAGAACAGGAGAUUGGCUGGGAUUACCCAGGGGGAUGCAAUUUAAUCACAAGCUUUCUUAAAAGUAGGAGGAGGCAGAAGAGAUGCAGAGAGAUUGUUGUGUCAGGAAGUCCAGUUCCUGCACUCCUGGCUUUGAAGAUGAGGGGAGCCCAGCCAAGGGAGCAAAUGACCUGUAAAAGUUGGAAAAGCUGUUUUUUCUGCUAUGGUCUGAAGGUUUACAUUGCCCUCAGCUUUGUAUGUUGAAAGCCUAACCUCCAAAGCUGAUGAUGGUCUGAGUAGCUGCGACCUUUGAGAGGUACUGAAGUCCUAAGGGUGGAACCCUAUUAAAUAAGAGAUUGGAGCCGUAUUAAAGAGGAUGUGGAGAGGUCCCUAGCCCCUUCCUGUCAUGUGAGAGCAUCAUGAGAAUUCUGCAACAUAGAAGAGCAGACCAGGUUGGAACCAUCUUCCUGGAUUUCCCAGUCCCCAGAACCAUAUGAAAUGCAUAUUGAACCACUGUUCUGGAAUGUUGAAGCUAGAUGUUGAAACAGAAACUCCAAUACUUUGGCCACCUGAUGCGAAGAGCUAACUCAUUGGAAAAGACCCUGAUGCUGGGAAAGAUUGAGGCAGGAGGUGAAGGGGACGACAGAGGAAGGAAAUGGCAACCCACUCCAGUGUUCUUGCCUGGAGAAUCCCAGGGACGGGGGAGCCUGGUGGGCUGCCGUCUAUAGCAUCACACAGAGUCGGACACGACUGAUUUGACUUAGCAGCAGCAGCAGAGGUGAAUCUUGUCUCAGUUCCAUGGAGGAUAUCAGGACAUACAACGAAACAAGAGGGAUACAAGUGCACAGAGGGGAUGCAUGUGAGGAGACGGUGAGAAGACAGCCACUGGAAAACCAAGGAGAGAAGCUUCAAGAGGAACCAGACCUGUCCACACUUGAUCUGGGACUUCUAGCCUCCAGAAGCAUGAGAAAGCAAAUCUCUGUUAAAUCACCCAGUCUGUUAUAUUUUGAUAUGGCAGCCCUAGCCAAUCAAUACGUUCCCCUCUCCUUUCUUGUUCUUUUAAAAUUAAAUCUACAGUCUUACCACUGGGGAAUAUCAUGACAAAGCAUUUGAUAUCGGGAGUUGAUGAGUUGUUAUUUAAAGGACCCUCUAAUGUGCCAUUCCCUGGAAGUUGUUGAUUACAGUUAAAUUCACUUAGGGGAACAUUGAACGUGGGAUCAUGUUUGUGGCCUUCAUUCUAGCAAAGCUCUCCUAAGGGAGCUGUGAGACUUAAGCCCUGACUAAGGGCCUCCUUGGUGGCUCAGAUGGUAAAGAAUCUGCCUGCAAUGCAGGAGACCCGGGUUUGAUCCCUGGGUUGGGAAGAUCCCCUGGAGAAGGGAAUGGCUACCCACUCCAGUAUUCUUGCCUGGGGAAUUCCAUACACAGAGGAGCCUGAUGGACUAUAGUGCAUGGGGCUGCAAGAAGGCAUACACAUCUGAGAGACUAACACAGUAAGAGUUGUACCACCCAGAGCCCUGCAGUGGGGCCCUGGGAUGGUCUAAUAAUUGCUAACAUGACUCCUUCAAUAAUUAAUGAUUCAGUUGUUUUAAAUGCCUUAAUACAUAAAAGCUCACAUGUGGUGUCAGAUCUCCAAAUUAUAACACAAAAUAGAUGUUUUGCAGUAACUUAUAUGGAAUUAAUUCCAUCCUAGAGUUCUUGUAGAAAUUAGAAGUCAUUUAAAGACUGAGCUCUGAUGGUUAUGUGUCACUAGACUCCCUCUGUGGAACCAUUUCCUUGUAAAUUUUUGUAAUCCAUUUGUAUUCUGUACACAUGUGGUCUCUUGACGGCUUUGGUGGUUCUUAAUUGCACUUCUCAUAGGCAAUCCCAAUGGUAGGUUCCUUUCAACUAAACUAGUAGUGAUGUGCCAUCAAGCACAAAAACAAAAACAAACAAACAGAAAAAAAAACUGGUUGAUUUAAUUAUUAAUGGUAAAUGUCCUUCUAGCUUCUUCCAAGAAAGCGAAAGCACAUCACUUGACUAAUAAGCCUUUUCAGUAAUGAAAUAUAAUUUUACUUGGUCAAGUUAUUCUCCUAAAGUUUUAGUUCUUAUUUAUGGAUUCUUAAUCUCAGGUGCUUGGGAUUGGCUUUAUCACCCUCUUCAUUUUCUGGAGUUCUACUAUUGAUCUCCCAAAGAACUUGUGCCUUUUAAGGGUUUUUGUUUUAAUUAUUCUCCAUAUUUCUCACUCGUGUCCCUCUUCACUUUUUGAAAAUGUUCCAAAGUAAUUUUUUUAAAAAAAUCUAUUUCCCAGAUUUAUUGAGAUGUAAUUGACAUACAAUUGUAUAAUUUUAAUAUAUACAAUGUAAAGAUUUUAUAUAUGUAUAUAUUGCAAAAUGAUUACCACAAUAAAGUAGUUAACACAUCCAUCACCUCA